UUUCGGUUCACAGCUUGGUGCAGAAAGCUGCUGUAGCAGGUCUCUUUGUUGAGGAAAAAGAGGCUGCAUCACAGCUUGCAGUACCAGAGAAGGUUUUGAGCUUCUUUGAGAAGAACUACUAGAAAUACAGGAAAAAAAAAAGAGAUUUUAUGAUAAAGAACAAUUCCAAGAUGGAGCCUUUUCCAGAUGCCUGAAUUUGUUGUCUGCAGAUUGCUUGCACUUAACUUCCAGAAUACAUGAAAUGAGAAAAGGAGGAAAAAACUUAAAAAAGUUUAAAAUUGACAGCAGUGACAUUCAACUCUUGGAGAUGUCAAGUAUUGAUUGUAUGUCAUAUCAGUUUCAAUGGAAGAAGACAGAAGCUAAGUGAGUUUGUUGCCUACGCACACUUAAAUCUCUGGUUUACCUUGCCCUUCACAUUUUAAGAAGACACAACACAGGCUCAUUCGACAUUUGCUAUGCUGAAGAGAUGUUACAAGCUGUAGAAAGGAAUAGAACUACCAAGCACUAAUGUUUGUGCACCUCCCUUGAAGUUUACUGCACUUGUUUUAUAACAGGUGUUCGUCUCCAUUGCUGUAGCUGGUGGAUAAUUGCAGGCCAGGAGACAGAGUCAGUGGGAUAAUAAUGCGAAAACAUGAAACCAGCAUACAGUGUAAUUGUUCAUCCGACAGCUACUUGGUCUGGAGGGAGAGAAGAUGAACUACAUGAAAGCAGCUGUUACAGACAAUGAAAGAAACAAAAAUAGGCCACAGGGGUAUCCAGGAACAACAAAACACUUUUUUUUUAUCUAGUUAAAGACAGUCUUUGCUUGCAAGGUGGGGUCUUUGCCUUCACAUACUGGUCCAUGAAUUCUGUCUUCUUUUUGUCCUCCUGUUCUCACAAGCGCAGUGCAUUCCAAAACCCCCAGCUUCUCAAGUAGGAAUAAAAAAAAGACAUGUUCUCUUUCUUACCAACAUCCUGCUCCUGCCUAUGCCUCUGAAGUGACUUCCACGAUCAUUAGGUUGAGCAGAAUACAACUCUGUCCCAGGCUUUCCAACGUACCUUGGUCUAGAUGGUAAGUAAAGGACAUACUCUGAAAUCUGAACUUAAAACAUGGAAUUAAUCUGCAGAAAGGAAAAGAAUCAAUCAGGAGUUUUACAAUAACAAAGAUAACAUCUGAUUUAUGGCCGUAAGUCAGCUUUUCAUCAUAACCUCAGAAAGAAACCUGACGCAUUGCAGAACUAUUGAUUUUUUUUCCUUAUUGUGUGAUUUUUUGAAUCUUCCACUAAAAUACUCGAAAUAGAACAUGCUAUGUGCAGCGUUGCUUUGAAUCUCAAUUUUGUAUAUUUGCUUCCAAAAUAGGAUCAGAUAUGCCAAACUUUUGUAGAGUACUUUUUGUAGAGUCUACCUCAGCAACUUCUGUACUAGCAUUUCAUUUGCUCUACAGUACUAAACCUCUGUUCCCACUCCCAUGAACAUCCAUUGAACACCAUCAGCGAGUAAACUCAAUCAUCUAUGAAGCUUACAAAGAACUAAAAUGUAUGCCAACAUACAUGUCUCUAUAGCUACUUUGUAUUACAGGCACACCAAAACAAUAUAGGGAUGUGAAAUAAAUUGAU
ensembl:lncRNA